GAAUAGGCCAGUCGGUAGAGCAUGAGAUUCUUAAUCUCAGGGUCAUGGGUUUGAGGGUUGCCCAUGUUGGGCA